rnacentral:lncRNA from 1 species
UCUUUAUCCUGUUAUAUUUAGACUACCAGUAUGGGAGGCUUACAUUAAACGUCUUAGAGCAUAGAAGCAAAAAAAAAACCUCAUAUACAGCAACCCUCCAAAGAGAACAACCAACCAUAAACAUGAAUGGAAAACCUCCAAACAAAAAAAAAACAAAAAACAAAAAAAACAUGAACGAAUAACAUUUUAUUCAGCAACAUUCAAAGAACAACCCAAUCAGGUUAUGAUAACCUCCCAUACAGCAACCCUUCAGAUAGAUCAACCAACGAAAAACAUGAAUUGAAAUCCCCCAAACAGACGAACCAACCAAAACAUGACUGGAUAACCUUUCAUUUAACAACAUUCAAAGAACAG